GCCGAUCCACGUGCUCCGACAAAAAUGCUCGUAAAUGGUUCGCCGAUGAGUAUACCGCCCUUCUCGUGAUAUUAGUGUAAUUUUAAUGCGUUCUGUGAUAAGAUAAAUGCAAUUCGGUGUCGAUUCGUUAUCAGGUGCUGUACGAUGUUCGCGGCAUGUUCGGUGGGGUAAAUAAAUCUUUGCGCGCGUUACACUAUCAGUAAACGUGGACCACGCGUCGUCGCUAGUACGAGUUGUGGCACUGAUUGUGAACAAAAUGUUGGAAUUCCCGCGGACCGGAACUCUUGACGGAAUUAGCGGGUCGAGAAGUGGCGUCCAGUUACGUUCGGUUGAUGCCAAGUGUUGUAUAAUAGGAUUAGCUUCAGUGCGGCGAAGAGUUCCCGGCACCCUUGUUUGAUAUACGGAUUCUCAAUUGGAGAGCAGCUAGGACGUGCCACCGGCAGCAGCAACAGCACAGAGGCAGCGCGCCAAGACCUCGGGCCGUUUUAGUUUCGGUCAGUUCGGUUUGUUCGUGACGAUCACCCAGUCAGUCAUUACGGCGGUGACCAUUCUCCGGGACGCACGUGUGUGUCACAGGACUUCCCGGACAUUCAUUUGCCUUGGAGAGCGAGAGAGAUCAGAACAACGCCGAGCUGAGUUACAGUGGCCUCUGAUGAAGAUCAAAGUUAAGGACGCUCUAGAUUGCUGUAUUGUUGGGGCGUGAAUGAACGCACCGUAGACGCGACUCAAGCAGCCCUUUCUUUCGUUCGUUGCCUUGCCUAGUGAUAAGAAGUGACGAUUCUGGUUGGGGUUUGCUCUCGGCAGACUUCAGUAUCGGCUAUAGGAUUGAAUAAUAAUAUUUAUACAGCCGAUUAUCACCCUCCGGGUAUCUGUUUGAAGUGGCUGACCCGCGACGACCUGGCGCAGGUUCUCCAAAGCCAAUCGGUUCGAACAAGUGUGUGCAAAUGGUGUGUGAACUGCUGGCUUCCCACAUUUAAUCGAGGAAAACGUCCAAAGUGUGAAAGUGCAAUGGAAGUCGGCCGAUAACCGGUGCAUCAAUUAUUCUUUGUGUAAAAAAAUCGAAGCAAAACAAAAACCAACUCAAUUAACAGAACUUGAAGACCUUUUCGACAAUGGCCGAGCAGGUGAAGAUGGUCAACGGGAACGGGGCUCCCGGGACGAUCGUGAAUGGGUCCGCCGUCAACGGGCACGUCCCGGCGAAGGCCAAGGAACUCUCAGCUCCCAACGGGGAAGUUUCCCACGAGCCACCGGAUGGGGGAACUCGCGCGUGGUUGGUCAUGGUGGGGGCGUUCCUCUGCAACGGAGUGCUCUUUGGCGUUAUCAACACCUACAGUGUGGUGUACCUGACUCUGCGGAAACAGCUGCAGGAUGCCGGCGACGAUGAAGCGUCCAGCAAGGCAGCUCUGGUCGGAUCGCUCACAAUCGGCACAACGUUCCUGCUGUCCCCAGUGUCGGGUAUCCUCACCGACAAGAUCGGUCUCCGGCGGACAACACUGUGCGGCGGAGUUCUCACCUGUGGUGGAAUGUUCCUGUCUUCUUUUUUCACUGAAAACGUUACCGCUCUGUACUUUACCUAUGGAAUCAUGUUCGGACUGGGUGCGGCCUUGGCAUACACACCUUCGCUGGCCAUUUUGGGACACUACUUCAAGAAGUACUUGGGACUGGUCAGCGGCGUUGUGACAGCCGGGUCGAGCGUCUUUACGGCGAUCAUGCCAAUCUUGUUGGAGAAGUUAGUGGCGAAGACGGGACUGGCCACUUCGUUCCGUGUGUUAUCUGUGAUAUCGAGCUUUGUGAUAUUCUGUGCGUUGCUGUACAAGCCACUGCAGCCUCCACCACCCCCGCCGAGGGUGAAGCCGGGUCGUUCCAGGUUCAAUACGAUGAUGCGAUCGUUCAUCAACUUUGACAACUGGAAAAAGAAGAAGUACAUCAUUUGGGCACUGUCGAUCCCGAUCGCGCUGUUUGGAUACUUUGUGCCUUACGUUCACAUGGGCAAGUUCGUGGAGGAUUCGUUCCCGGGAGAGGAGAAAAAUCUGCCCGUCAUGUGUAUCGGAAUCACUUCCGGACUGGGUCGGUUGUUGUUUGGUUACAUUGCGGAUCUUCCCCGCGUGAAUCGAGUGCUGCUCCAGCAGAUGUCGUUUGUGUUGAUCGGUACGAUGACGAUGUGUCUUCCUGCGACUGGUUCUUUCCCACUUUUGCUGGCGAUCGCCCUGGCCAUGGGUCUCUUCGACGGAUGCUUCAUUUCGCUGCUGGGUCCGAUCGCUUACGACAUCUGUGGACCACGUGGUGCGACUCAAGCCAUCGGAUUCCUGCUGGGGCUGUGCUCGAUCCCGUUGACCGUUGGACCUCCGAUCGCGGGACGGUUGUACGACCACACCGGCUCGUACAUGAUACCCUUUGUCCUCGCCGGCAUUCCACCACUGUUUGGUGCCUCGACCAUGUUCCUCAUCAGAUGCGUCAAAGACGACGCUCCGGCCACUCCGGAAACAGUAUUAAAAGAUCCCACUCACCAGCCGCUGGCGCAAACUGCAUGGGACAGUGAAAAUCCGGCAGACGCGAGGAACGGCAAGCUGAACGGACACAUACGGGAAGAACGUCGAGCCACGCUGGCCAGUUCAGGUAUAAUAGAUGUCAAGUCUCCUCUGCUUACUAACGUUGCCGUGUCCUCGCUGGUGGUAGAUUCCUUCUAUUCGGACUAUCCGGGCAGCUUUCGCGAGCGCAAAUACAGCUAUAGCUAUCUGUAGGAAUUAACCAAAAGAGUGCUUUCUUGCUUUCAUCCUCGUAGUUAGUCACUAAUCACCAUUCGUUCUUCAUUCGUCUAGAGAUGCUACUUAAUCAGUAGUACAAUUUACUUUGGUAGCUUCACAUUAUUUAAUUGCCCCGUUUGGCCGUGCCAUGCCCUCCACGCAUGUGGCCAGAAGAAUAAAAGAGUGUGUACUAGGGCAAAACGCUAUUAUCAUCAACAUUACGCUUAUGUAUUAUUUACUGCCUUACUUGGGUCAAAAAUGGGUUCGUGAGCGGUUUAAUUCCAACGCUUAUGCUGAGCAAUUGUAAAAUACUUUUUUUGUGAUCUAGACAACGUCAAGCCUUAGUUUAAAAUAAAUUUGCUUGUUUUGUCCUUCAAAGUGAGUUUCAAAGCUUUUCCGUAUUUUUUAUUUUUCUUAUUUUUAACAUCAAAUUCGAGUUCUGUGACCCCAUUUUAUACAAAUUUGAAUGAUGGGGUAAUAUUUCAUCACCGCCAUUUUGGCCGCCAUCUUGGAUUAAAAAAAUCUUAAUCACUUUAAAGUUGUUUAGGGGUCAUAUUAAGGCUCAGCAAUAAAAAAUAAGACAUAGAAAAUAGUAGUUUAUGCAACAUGUUGCAAAAAGAGGAUUUUUUCAGCACGAGUCGUACAUUUAUCCAACGAGGUUCACCGAGUUGGAUAAAUACGAAGAGUGCUGAAAAAAUCAAGUUUUGCAACGAGUUCCAUACAACAUUUUUUGCAAUUCCAAAAAACACACACUGAGUGCAAUUUUAUGUCAAAUUUUCAUGUAUUUUGUCAAUAAAUCGUUUAAAUCAAAAAAAUGUUGAAAAGUGUAACUUUUCGAAACAAGUGCUGAAAAGUUCAACUUUUCAGCACCCAUUUGAGUGCUGAAAAGUAGAACUUUUCAGCAUUUAUUUUGAAAAGUGUUGCUAUUCGAUUCUGUUAUUUUUGGUACAGAAAAGCAGGCUAUUUCGUCGUUCAAGAAUGACAGGAAAAGUAAGUAGUUUCACGACGGAAUUGCAAAAAAAAUAUUUUUUUGUGAUUCGAUUAUCCGAAGUGAAAUUUUGCCAAGACCUUCGGAUUAUCGAGUCUGGAAUGUACAAGCCAUGGUAAUAUUCCAAUGAAAAAAGUAAUUUGAAAUUUAAUAUACUUUAGUUAAGUUAUUUUACAAUAAUUUCACAAGAAGUUAAAAUAUGUUCAAACUGGUUUAAUCAUGUUAAAUUGAUUAUCUCGUCUACUUCCAUAGAAAUUAUAAAGUUUUUGGGAAAAAACUUAUCUUUCUCUCGUGAAUAUUUGAAGUUUACAUAAAAUACAUUAUCAAAACAAAAAAAUAAUACUAAAAAUGUGUUAACUUGAUAGGUCAACUCCUUUCAUAUUUUGUUAUCCAUGGUAAAAUAUAUUCAAUAUUGUUUUGGAAAAUAUGCAUCCAUUAUUGACUAUUUUUUGUUCAAUUUUUAAUUAAAUAUUGAAAAUAACAUCUUUGAAAAUGUAAGCAUAAUAUUUAAAAAUAAUAUCCAGUUGACUUAAAAUCCAAGUCGAAUAUUUCAAAAAUCUCAACAGUAAGGUUAAAAUUGAUAUAGCUGAUAGCCUUACAGUAAACCAAAACGUGUAGUUUCAUUUUAGUCUUUCCUUAUGUGUUUAAAUAAAAUCAUUACCCCUCCCUUGUUUGGUAACGAUCACAAUGCGUUAUCUUUGUUUACUUGUUACACACUCUCACUAGCGAGUGUGGGAUGUUCCGCUGACGCUGACGCUCAACAAAGAGUUAAGCUUAACGCGCUUCCUAUCGCAGCCGUUGCACUCUAGUUGCUGUGGAGUGUCAGUGAAGGAUUCUUACUCAAUCGCGAAUCGGCUCCUCCCUGCGUCCAUACUUUGUCGUUGGCCGGUUCCAUAAACAAUCUGCUCCACGAACCCAGUGACCCGCUUGACUCUCGCACCAUCACGCAGUAAUGACGGGAUUAGUUUCGAACUGAUUGCCAGAUUGCCAGUCUGGAACUGAUAGAUUUAACACCAUUAAUGAAUCACUUACUGCGGAGAACAAUUAAGACAAAAAAAGAGAAGUGUUAGUCGUACUUUAAAACAAUGGUCCAUGGAAAAUAAAUGGAGCGAUUUCAGUACCAACAAAACCAAAAUUAUCAGGUAUCGGCGUGAACGUAGAGCUUUGUAGAACCUUGGUAACGAUGCAGCGUUACGUGAGGAGUGAUUUUAAAAUGUAGUUUUAGAGCAAACUCAACAACAUGCAACACGCAAGUGUGUGUGUUGCGCAGAAUAUACGAUAAGCAUAAUCAAGACUAUUUUCUAAGGAAUUAGAAACUCACUCAAU